AUUGAACGCUGGCGGCAGGCUUAACACAUGCAAGUCGAGCUAACGGCGGACGGGUGAGUAAUGUCUGGGAAACUGCCUGAUGGCGGGGGCUAACUACUGGAAACGGUAGCUAAUACCACAUACCAUCAGCUGUGCCCAGAUGUGAUUAGCUAGUUGGUGGGGUAAGGGCUCACCUAGGCGACAAUCCCUAGCUGGUCUGAGAGGAUGACCAGCAACACUGGAACUGAGACACGGUCCAGACUCCUACGGGAGGCAGCAGGGGGGAAGAUUGCACAAUGGGCGCAAGCCGGAUGCAGCCAUGCCGCGUGUGUGAAGAAGGCCUUGGGGGUGUAAAGCACUUUCAGCGAGGAGGCGUGACUCGCAGAAGAAGCACCGGCUAACUCCGUGCCAGCAGCCGCGGUAAUA
rnacentral:rRNA from 1 species